AGAUGUGCUGCGUAGUCUUAUACAGGACUUUGAAUUGUUCACGUCGUGUCAGUUAAACAAACAUCAUGAAGACAUUCGUCAUCCUCGCUGUCAUUACCUUAUUUGGCAUGGUUGUUUCACAACAAUGUAGUAAUUCUAUCACAUGUCGUCUCGAUGACGACACAACAUGUGCUCCCCACCACCGUGAGUAUUGCCAUCACAAUGCGUGCGUCUGUGCGGAUUCAGUCUCAACGAAUGGCUGUACCCAAGCGAGUGACUGCCAUGGCCAUUCUUCAGCUUGUCAGUUACACUGCGUGGAUGGAAGUUGCCGUUGUAUCCAUUAGAGAGAGUAACAACUCCUGGGUGCGAUGAAAUCUUGUGUUGCUGUGCUUUAAAUAGUUAAUGUUAUUCCAGACAUAUUAAAAUAAUUGGAAAAAAACGA